CUCAUUUCACCACUUGUUGAAAGAAGCAUUUAUUUUGACAUUCGGCGGUGCAUUUUUCAAAUCGAGGACGAGGAAAAUAGAAUAUUAACGUUGGUUGCGAGAUACAGAAGAAGAAGAAGAAGCAUUCAGAAGAAGAAGAGAGAAUAUUUCCAUAGCUCCACGAGCUCUUUUCCCGAUUGGCGAAAGCAUCAUAUUUGAAACAUGUCAACAUCCAGAGAAGAGGAUCCCUCCUGUACAGCCGUGUUUGAAAACAUUUCCCAGAACUCAUCAUGGUAUCAGGAAAAGGGCUUUCAACAGCUCCUGGUAUAAAGGACAAUUCAUGGCUUGAAUAUUCUGUUUGUCAAGAUUCGACUUAUUGUUUCGCCUGUAGGCAAUUUUCUCUGCCCAAUACACCUGAAUCUGCCUUCACAUCACGGUCAGGUUUUUGUAACUGGAAAAAGGUGCUGUUUAAAGGUUCUGGGUUUAAGCUCCAUUCAAAGGCACAGCAUCAUAUCAAUGCUAUGUAUGCUUGGAAUCAGCAUAAAAGGGCUAUUGACAGCAACUUGUCAAUGUUAGAUGUCAUAAAUGAGGACCGGAAAAAGAAAGUAGAGGAAAACUGUACUUACAUUAAAACAAUUACAGAUGUGCUCCUAUUAACUGCCACUUAAAAUAUAGAGCAGAGAGGUCAUCGAGAGUCUGAUGAGCAGAGAGGUCAUCGAGAGUCUGAUGAGCAGAGAGGUCAUCGAGAGUCUGAUGAGCAGAGAGGUCAUCGAGAGUCUGAUGAGCAGAGAGGUCAUCGAGAGUCUGAUGAGCAGAGAGGUCAUCGAGAGUCUGAUGAGCAGAGAGGUCAUCGAGAGUCUGAUGAGCAGAGAGGUCAUCGAGAGUCUGAUGACUCUCACAACAAGGGUCAUUUUUUGACAACCUUAGAAGAAAUAGCAAAGCAUGACCCCCUCAUAGAGAAAAAAGGAUGAAUGCAUGUGGCAAUGCUAAGUACACAAGCCACCAAAUCCAUAACGGAAGUUCUUGAGGGCUUAGCUGAGCUGGUACAAAGUCAAAUAAUAAGAGAAGUAAAAAAUGUUUACAAAAAUGAAGCUUUUAGUGUAAUUGCAGAUGAAACCAAAGAUUUAAAAGAAAAAAUAACAAAUGUCUUUAGUUGUGAAGUACUAUUACAACGGAGCAAAAGCUUUUUCCACUUUCUGUCAGCUGAAAGCUUAGAUGCAAAAAUGAUAAUGGAUUGCCUUGAAAAACAUGGUCUGGACUACAGAAAGAAUCUUGUGGGGAAAGGCUGUGACGGUGCAGCCGUCGUGAGCGGAAAGCAUUCUGGUGUGUCUACGGAUUUAAAAACGGUGCAAGAUUAGCAUUUUAUGUGCACUGAAAUGCACCUUUGUUUGAAUUUUAUUCUUGUCGAUGCUGUAAAAUCAGUGCCUGAGGCAGUUCACUUUUUUGCUCUCCUGCAGAAGCUUUAUAACUUUGUGUCUGGCUCAUACGUUCGUCUCAAGUGGCUUGCAGUUCAGAAAGAGCUGUAUCCACAGCAGCAGCCCGGGGAACUACGGAGACUUACGGAUGUAAGGUGAGCAUGCAGAUAAAUGGCAUGCCGUGAUCUGAGGGACAGGCUUCCAGCAGUUCUAAGAGUGCUACAGGAUAUCACACUUGAAAAUAGUGGUGACAGAUCAGUGGAGGCAAGGGGCCUUCUUUCUCAGAUAGAUUUACAUUUCAUAAAGCUUUUGGUUACCUUUUGUAAAGUGCUUGGUGAUGCCAAAUGUCUUUCUGACAUGCUCCAAUCAAGCUCUCUUGACCUAGUGAGGGCUGUGGCUCUAGUAGGUGCCUUUACAGACACAUUACAGGAAGGGCUGUGGCUCUAGUAGGUGCCUUUACAGACACAUUACAGGAAGGGCUGUGGAUCUAGUAGGUGUCCUUACAGACACAUUACAGGAAGGGCUGUGGAUCUAGUAGGUGCCUUUACAGACACAUUACAGGAAGGGCUGUGGAUCUAGUAGGUGCCCUUACAGACACAUUACAGGAAGGGCUGUGGAUCUAGUAGGUGCCUUUACAGACACAUUACAGGAAGGGCUGUGGAUCUAGUAGGUGCCCUUACAGACACAUUACAGGACUACAGAAGGUAGGGUUACUAUGGAGAACUAUGGAAAGAGGUUGAAGAGAUUACAGAGCACUGCAAAAUAAGUGUACAAACAGCGUGUAAACGACAGCCUAAAACAAGCUUAGAUUUCAUGACUCAUUGAUGAUGAGCACUGUAGGACAGAAACAUAGUGACCAAAGUGAUGGUGAGAGCUUCCAAAGAGCUUAUCUUUAAUCAGGUGCUUGACAGUCUCACAGCUGAGCUGCAGAGGCGUUUUUCAUAGAAGAAUUGUGAGAUAAUGCAAAGGGUCCAGUCUCUCAACCCAAAGAGGACACCAUUCUUGAAUGAGGAGCCUCUGUUUGCCUUUGCUCAGACCUUUGAGUUCGAUUUAGAGGACCUCAAUCAAACAUGAGGUUCAUCCAACCAAGGGACUUCUUGAUAGGAGAGAUAGAAGUGGAAGGAACAGACUGUCUACUCUCCUUGGCUUUGUUGUGUUUCUAGAACCUUUAUAAAGAGAUCUUCCAUGAGCUAUUUCGACUUUGUGAGAUUUCUGUUGUUACCCCAGUCAGCAGUGCUUCUUGCGAGAGAAGCUUCUCAGCCUUAAAACGGAUUAAAACCCACCUUAGAACAAUAAUGGUUGAUGACAGGUUAAGUCACCUCGGAAUUGUAUGCUGUUUUAAAUCUACCAGGGAUAAUUUGGCACUUAGGUGGUCCCUCUGAUCAUGAUUAACACCUGCACUGUGUACUAGCUAGUACACUGACAUUCUAAAAUGAUAAUCCAAAGGAUAUCACAUCACAGAUUUCAUUUGGUCUUGAUUAGGCCAAUUCCAAAAUGUUUCUUUGCUAUUAGUUAACAUAAUAUAUAUGAGCAUAAAUAUGAUACUGUACGUUUGUAAUAUUGAAAUAUGCUUUAUUUUUCAAGUCCAUUUCUGCUUGAUACCCUGGUAUGUCAAAUUGCAGUGUUUUUUUUAAAACAAAUGUUAUCUUA